CUUUUCUGCCAUGUGAGGCUACAAUGAGAAGAUAGCAACUAUAAACCAGUUGCUAACAAAGGAUCUAUCACACUGAAAUCAUAAAUGCUUCAAAGUGCUGAUCGUUGGGUAACGCCAGUGUCAAAGAUUUCUACUUAAACAUUUUCUAUUUCCCUAAUACCACAUCAAAAUUCAUGCAGGCACCUGCAGUAUCGCCCACCUUAUCAGUGUCUAGCUGUCCGGCUGGAGAUGAAAUCAGCAUCUUCAAGAGAUAGCUGCACUACCAGAUGAGUGUUUUUCAAAGAGAGAAUGGAAGAUGCUAGGUA